UACGAAGGGGGGCUAGCGUUGCUCGGAAUCACUGGGCGUAAAGGGCGCGUAGGCGGACUUUUAAGUCAGGGGUGAAAUCCUGAGGCUCAACCUCAGAACUGCCUUUGAUACUGAGGGUGCUCGAGACCGGUAGAGGUAAGUGGAACUGCGAGUGUAGAGGUGAAAUUCGUAGAUAUUCGCAAGAACACCAGUGGCGAAGGCGGCUUACUGGACCGGU
rnacentral:rRNA from 1 species